rnacentral:rRNA from 1 species
GAAGGUCAGGCUGAAGACCUUACCCGAUUAGCUGAGAGGUGGUGCAUGGCCGUCGUCAGUUCGUACUGUGAAGCAUCCUGUUAAGUCAGGCAACGAGCGAGACCCACGUCCACAGUUGCCAGCAUGCCCUCCGGGGUGAUGGGUACACUGUGGAGACCGCCGCUGCUAAAGCGGAGGAAGGAGUGGGCAACGGUAGGUCAGUAUGCCCCGAAUCUCCCGGGCUACACGCGGGCUACAAUGGUUGGUACAAUGGGCAUCUACCCCGAAAGGGGAAGGAAAUCUCUUAAAGCCAAUCGUAGUUCGGAUUGAGGGCUGCAACUCGCCCUCAUGAAGCUGGAAUCCGUAGUAAUCGCGUUUCAACAGAACGCGGUGAAUACGUCCCUGCUCCUU